rnacentral:rRNA from 1 species
AACGAUGAUAUCACUGCUUGCAGUGAUUGAUUAGUGGCGAACGGGUGAGUAACACGUGAGGAACUUGCCCAUGAGCGGGGGACAACAUUCGGAAACGGAUGCUAAUACCCCAUAGGUGGAUUGGUCGCAUGACUAAUUCAUUAAAGGUGGCUCUGCUACCACUCAUGGAUAGCCUCGCGGCGUAUUAGCUAGUUGGUAAGGUAAUGGCUUACCAAGGCAGUGAUACGUAGCCGACUUGAGAGGGUGAUCGGCCACACUGGGACUGAGACACGGCCCAGACUCCUACGGGAGGCAGCAGUAGGGAAUCUUCCACAAUGGGUGCAAACCUGAUGGAGCAAUGCCGCGUGAGUGAAGAAGGUCUUCGGAUCGUAAAGCUCUGUUGUUAGAGAAGAACACGUGCUAGGAACUACUAGCGCCUUGACGGUUCUAACCAGAAA